UCUGCCCAUUUAUAAGGAACUGUGAGCAAUUUCAUCGUCCAGCCGGAGGCGAAGAAGUUGCCGAUCCACAACAGGGUGAAUUGAGAAACAUGAGGUUCUUCUCCUUCCUUGGACGGGUCCUCUUUGCUUCCAUCUUCAUUCUCUCCGCCUGGCAGAUGUUUAAUGAGUUCGGCCAUAAUGGAGGGCCAGCAGCCGCGGAGUUGUCUCUAAAAGUAGCUGUUUUGAGGAGAAAUUUAUCAUCCAAGCUGGGGGUAGCGAUACCUGAGAUUGAUGUCAGACACUUGGUUGCCAUUUCUUUAUCUCUUAAAGGGAUUGGAGGCCUUCUGUUUGUUUUUGGCAGCAGAGUUGGAGCUUAUCUCCUGCUUCUGCAAUUGGCUAUUAUCACUCCGGUUCUGUAUGAUUUCUUCAACUAUAGCCCUCAGAAACCUAUUUUCGAUAUCCUGUUGUUUAGUGAUUUCUUGCAGCACAUUGCACUUUUUGGUGCUCUGAUUUUCUUCUUAGGGAUGAAGACCACAGGUCCAAGGAAGCACUCGAAGAAGAAGACAUCUAAAACUAAAACAUAUUAGAUUUGUUGAAGAAGCAACAGUUUAGCGAUUGGAUUAAUUUGCUCUGCCAUUCAGUUCUUAGGAUCUGCAAAUAUUAGGAUUGGCCUUGCGUCGCAGGAUGCUCCUUUUUAUGUUCCUCAUUGCAUUGCUCGUUAUACCAAUCAAGUGCCCAAAAGAAAUGUUCAAGAUCAGGUUUAUUAUUCGUGUUAACACAUUUACAACAUUAUCAAUGUUAUUUCAAUCAACAUUAACCGAAGUGAAGUUUUCUCUUAUACUCCAAGAAGGGCUAGGAUUCACUGAAGUGAAGUGUUUCAUUCAACUGAAUGGAAACAAAUACUUUAUUGAGAUAUGAAACAGAAAGUUCAAGCUCCAAGGAUGUGAACCAUGGGUCUUUGGACCAGCAUGUAGAUACUGAUUCCAGAGCUUAGUUCUAGUGUAAAUCAAAAAUAGACAGUUUAUUUGCGGUACUUGAGGACUUGCAUGCUAUUUGGGACUGGAUUUUGAUAGAAAAUCUGCAUAUCCCUCAUACUGAAAGAAGCUUGUAUUCUGCUAUUCUGGUGGUCUCAGAAACAUUUGACAACCGCGGUACUUCUUAGACCCCUUUUCACAUCUACUAUUUUUCUGUUUUAUCAUUUUGUGAAUCUUGCUUGAAUAAUCAAGACAUCAUAAAAACAAGUGAAAUGAGUUAUUUAGCUCCACGGGGUGGCCUGUUGGCUAAGGCCCACGGUCUCCUUUGCCUAGAGGUCAGGUUUUGAAUCUUUUUGUGAGCUUAAUAAGAAAAUUCCUUGAUGUCUCCAAAGUUUGGGCCUUGAUGCGAGCACUGACGAAGUGAAAUGAUUUUUUUUUAAAAGUGGAUCCAGAUUUCUAUGAAAUGGUCAGCAUGGAGGACUUAAAUAGUUCAGCAGUGGUUCAUCAGGUGAGCACCUGGUUUUUAUCAAGUAUGCAGACAUCUAACUAUGUCGUACAUCCGUUAGUGAUGAUGCUUGUAUUUCCUAACAAAAUGCAAGUAGCAAUGUUGUAUAUGGGGGGAAUUGGCUCCUUCCAACUGUUGUCUACUCUGUAUCCUAUAUUUAUAGAGUUCCCAUGAAUUUUACUU